UAGGGAAUCUUCGGCAAUGGGGGGAACCCUGACCGAGCAACGCCGCGUGAGUGAAGAAGGUUUUCGGAUCGUAAAGCUCUGUUGUUAAGGAAGAACGAGUGUGAGAAUGGAAAGUUCAUACUGUGACGGUACUUAACCAGAAAGGGACGGCUAACUACGUGCCAGCAGCCGCGGUAAUACGUAGGUCCCGAGCGUUGUCCGGAUUUAUUGGGCGUAAAGCGCGCGGAGGCGGUUUUUUAAGUCUGAUGUGAAAGCCCACGGCUCAACCGUGGAGGGUCAUUGGAAACUGGAAAACUUGAGUGCAGAAGAGGAAAGUGGAAUUCCAUGUGUAGCGGUGAAAUGCGCAGAGAUAUGGAGGAACACCAGUGGCGAAGGCGACUUUCUGGUCUGUAACUGACGCUGAUGUGCGAAAGCGUGGGAAUCAAACAGG
rnacentral:rRNA from 1 species